rnacentral:lncRNA from 1 species
CUUGUAAAGAAUAUCCUGACUCAGUUUCAGAAACUUUCUCUCUCCCUGUGACAAGGCUGGGGAUGUUUUUAAAAUCCUCCCACCAACCUGCCAAAUCACAGGAUGGAGUUCUCAGUGUUUCCUUUCCAUUGAAUGUUUUGCCACAUGCAAACUUUCAUCUUCUUCUCAGUAUACUUUUGGGUUCUGCUAGGCUUACUUUCAAAGGUUAAAGUAAUGGAGUGUACUGGAGUCAGGAAAGCUCAGUGUUGGUUCACCAGCACUGCAUUUCUGCACCAGUCAUAG